GAUGAAGAACGUAGCGAAAUGCGAUACGUAGUGUGAAUUGCAGAAUUCAGUGAAUCAUCGAAUCUUUGAACGCACAUUGCACCUCUCGGUAUUCCGGGAGGUAUGCCUGUUCGAGCGUCAUUUGUACCCUCAAGCUCUGCUUGGUGUUGGGUGUUUGUUCCGCCUCUGUGUGUGAACUCGCCUCAAAACAAUUGGCAGCCGGCGUACUUGUUUCGGAGCGCAGCACAUUUUGCGAUCCAGAUCAACGUACAGCGGCAUCCAAGAAGCCUUAUUUAACGCUCUUGACCUCGGAUCAGGUAGGGAUACCCGCUGAACUUAAGCAUAUCAAUAAGCGGUGGA
rnacentral:misc_RNA from 1 species